UACGUAGGUGGCAAGCGUUGUCCGGAAUUAUUGGGCGUAAAGCGCGCGCAGGUGGUUCCUUAAGUCUGAUGUGAAAGCCCACGGCUCAACCGUGGAGGGUCAUUGGAAACUGGGGAACUUGAGUGCAGAAGAGGAAAGUGAAAUUCCAAGUGUAGCGGUGAAAUGCGUAGAGAUUUGGAGGAACACCAGUGGCGAAGGCGACUUUCUGGUCUGUAACUGACACUGAGGCGCGAAAGCGUGGGGAGCAAACAGG
rnacentral:rRNA from 1 species